UUACCUGGUCAGAUACCUCCAGGCCCAAACUGUAAACAAUGAAGGAGACUACAAACGGCAGAGCCGAAAAAUGCCCGACUAGUAACCACGCCAAAGAGAAGAAGUAAGAGGACUGACGAGGAAAAGCAGUGUAAGAACAAAGAAUUGGACCGAGCUAGAGAGAAAACAUCAUUUCAACGGUGGACGGAGCUGCUGGAUUUGUAUGGACUUUUCUGCUGGACAGUGUUGCAUGUAACUCCACCACAAUCCCCUCCACCUGCAGACGUGACGUUCAGAGGAAGGGUUUCUGGCAAAUCUUCGCCUGCUUCCAAGAGAUGGACACGGCACAUCCUAUCUUGAUGGCUGGCCGUGAGUCACCUUCCAAGCUUUAAGUCGGGGAGGACCGGAGUGCUGUUUACACAGUAGGGAGAUUCCUGCUCCAUGGGACCAGAGUGUCGAGGCUUUGAUGCUCAAUAGGAGCUACUGAACGAGAGCAGGAGGAGGACAGAAAGAGAGCGCUGGCUUGGACAGAGACAGAGAUUGAAGUGAUGAUGACCUUCUUAGAGUAACCUCGGAUUGCUCCUCUUGGAAGGUUCACAAAAUAUGGGUAACAGAUGUUUUGUGUUUUUGUCUGUGGCCUUAUCGUGGCCACGGGGCAGAGGCAGCGUGAUCUGCCCCAGUUUCUCUGAAUUCAUGUUUAAAAUAUAACACACGGAAACUGUAGAUCCUGCUUACUCAACGCUAUAUGUAAGAUUUUUCAUUUCAAACACACAAAAAAUGAACUAAAAUGAUCAGUUUUGAGAUUGUG